UCCUCCCGGCCAUUCCCGGGGGCUCCUCCCGGCCAUUCCCGGGGGAUUCCCGGGCCGUUCCCGAGGGAUUCCCGGGCCGUUCCCGGGGCAUUCCCGGGCCGUUUCCGAGCGGUUCCGAGGGGUUCCCGGGCCGUUCCCGAGGGAUUCCCGAGGGAUUCCCGGGCCGUUCCCGGGGCAUUCCCGGGCCGUUCCCGAGCGGUUCCCGAGGGGCUCCCGGGCCGUUCCCGAGGGAUUCCCGGACCGUUCCCGAGGGAUUCCCGGGCCGUUCCCGAGGGAUUCCCGGGCCGUUCCCGAGGCGUUCCCGGGGCAUUCCCGGCGCGGAGGGGCCGGGCCGGGGGAGGAUCCGGGGGGUUUUUGUAUUUCUUGGAGUAAAAAGCGAUGGAACGAGGUCGUUGUGUCCCCCCCGCGCGCCGCCCCGGCCCUUCCCGUGCGGUUCGGGUUUAAAUCCCCGGGUUUUGGUGUUUCUCCCUCCUCGCCUCUUUAUUAUUCAAUUUUUUACUUUUCUUUCUUUUUUUCCUCCUUCCCGGGUUUUAUUUUCCCCCCGUUCUCAAUCCCGUUUUUCUCUUUUGCUUCCUUUUAAUCUCUUCAUUUGAAUUUCUGCUUCUUGAGCUGGUAAAUUCCACUCGGAACUGCAUUUUUUCCUUUUCAUUUCUCCUUUUCCGCUUCUUUAUUUUAAUUCAUCUUCUCGCUUUUAGUCCUAAUUUUUAAUUGUUUGUCUCGUUUUUCAAUUCUGCUUUUAAUUUCAUUUUAAUUUCUUUCCACUUGGACCUUUAUUUGAUAUUUUUGACUCUACUUUUUUAUUCAAUCCAGCCUUUAAGGUUCCUUUUACUUUUUUCCCCUCUGAUUUUUGAUUUUAUUUCAUUUCUGAAUUCUCCUUUUCAUUUCUGAAUUCCGCUUUUCAGUUUUUAUUUUGAAAUUCAAGAUUUUAUCCUAUUUUACCCUCAUUUUUAAUCUUUUUUUCAAUUUUUAAAUUUGAAUUUGAAUUUUUAUUUUUCUUUUUUUCCCUUCAGUUUCACUUUUUUCACUCCCUAUUUUUCAAUGCUCAAUAUUUAUUUUACCUCGUUCCUUUUUGUUUUGCUGCUUUUUAUUUUCACCUCUCGCUCCACACCUUUCCCAAUCAUUUUUUGGCCUGGAAUUUUCGCUUUUAAAACCUUUCUGUUCCGUU